rnacentral:rRNA from 1 species
ACGUCGCGCUGCGGCGGGUCCGCAACGCGACGGCAUCCCUGAGGAAUACCUCGGCAUUCGAGGAUGUUCCACCUGUCCGCUCUGUCAGAUCGCGGCAAUCGCCGCGGGCUGGUUGCGCGGCCGCUGGGAUGGGUGUUGUUUGAGAACUCAAUAGUGUGUGUUU